UUAGAAUUUAUUUAUGAAUUUUUUUUCAAAUAGUA
rnacentral:tRNA from 5 species